rnacentral:rRNA from 1 species
CUUUAUUUAGAAAGUGCCAACUGGUACACUAUGAGAUGGACCCGCGUUGUAUUAGCUAGUUGGUAGUGUAAUGGACUACCAAGGCGAUGAUACAUAGCCGACCUGAGAGGGUGAUCGGCCACAUUGGGACUGAGACACGGCCCAAACUCCUACGGGAGGCAGCAGUAGGGAAUCUUCGGCAAUGGACGAAAGUCUGACCGAGCAACGCCGCGUGAGUGAAGAAGGUUUUCGGAUCGUAAAACUCUGUUGUUAGAGAAGAAUGUUGAUUAGAGUGGAAAAUUAAUCAAGUGACGGUAUCUAACCAGAAAGGGACGGCUAACUACGUG